UAGAAGAAAAAGAAAAUAACAUAAAGCAUCUUAGUUCCGUCUAAUAGCCACCAAAGUAGAAAAACGAAUUAGAAAGGUUGUUGUGUCUUGUUUGUAGCCGAUCAAAAGAGGAAAAGGGGAAGGAUUGUUAGGUUGGGGUCCCUAGCUGAACGAAAUAUAUAAAGCAAGGAGAUAUAUAUAUAUAUACAUAUACUUGUGUUUGAGCGUCCAGAAGGAUCAACAAACAAAUAUAUAUUGUUUGUAUGCUAGCUGAUCUAAUCAUCAAAUAAGGUUGUUGGGAAUACAUAGCAAGCUUGGUAAACAUAUUGUGGUUGUGUGAAGCUGUCAAGGUUAGGACUUGAAGCUGAUCGAUAGAUGGUGAGAUGGGUAGCUACUUGUGGAGCUUAAGGAUUAUGGUUUUAGUUACCCAUAGUUGCAUUUACUUUCGUAGAUAUUUAUUCAGUCGUUUGGCCAUUAUUAUGUCGGUUGUCUUUUACGUUGAUUGUGGACUUCAUUUGGGCUAUUGUGAUAAUAUUGUU